UCCUACGGGAGGCAGCAGUGGGGAAUAUUGGACAAUGGGGGGAACCCUGAUCCAGCGACGCCGCGUGAGUGAAGAAGUAUUUCGGUAUGUAAAGCUCUAUCAGCAGGGAAGAAAAUGACGGUACCUGAAGAAGAAGCCCCGGCUAACUACGUGCCAGCAGCCGCGGUAAUACGUAGGGGGCAAGCGUUAUCCGGAUUUACUGGGUGUAAAGGGGGCGCAGACGGCGAUGCAAGCCAGGAGUGAAAGCCCGGGGCCCAACCCCGGGACUGCUCUUGGAACUGCGUGGCUAGAGUGCAGGAGGGGCG
rnacentral:rRNA from 1 species